GUCGGGUUGGCAGAGUGGUUAUGCAUCCGGCUGCAGACCGGAAGACGCGGGUUCGAAUCCCGCGCCCGACU
rnacentral:tRNA from 1 species